CCUACGGGGGGCAGCAGUGGGGAAUAUUGGACAAUGGGCGCAAGCCUGAUCCAGCAAUGCCGCGUGUGUGAAGAAGGCCUGCGGGUUGUAAAGCACUUUCAGUGGGGAGGAAGGCCUCGAUAUUAAUACUAUUGAGGAUUGACGUUACCCACAGAAGAAGCACCGGCUAACUCUGUGCCAGCAGCCGCGGUAAUACAGAGGGGGCAAGCGUUAAUCAAAAUUAGCGGGGGUAGUGUGUUAAGUCAGGGGUGAAAGCCCCGGGCUCAACCUGGGAAUUGCAUUUGAUACUGAGUAACUUGAGUAUGGUAGAGGGAAGUGGAAUUUCCAGUGUAGCGGUGAAAUGCGUAGAUAUUGGAAGGAACAUCAGUGGCGAAGGCGACUUCCUGGACCAUUACUGACACUGAGGCACGAAAGCGUGGGGAGCGAACAGGAUUAGAUACCCUGGUAGUC
rnacentral:rRNA from 1 species